GGGUCAGUAGGUUGGUCGUGCCACCGGUACGUACUGGUCUCACUGAUUCCUCCUUCCUGAAGAACCGUAAUGCCAUUAAUUUGGUGUUGCGGGGAAACAGGACUGUUACUUUGAAAAAAUUAGAGUGUUUAAAGCAAGCUAACGCUUGAAUACAUUAGCAUGGAAUAAUGAAAUAGGACGAUCGAUCCUAUUUUGUUGGUUUCUAGGAUUGACGUAAUGAUUAUGGGAUAGUUGGG
rnacentral:rRNA from 1 species